rnacentral:rRNA from 1 species
AGUGAACGCUGGCGGUAGGCCUAACACAUGCAAGUCGAACGGCAGCACAGUAAGAGCUUGCUCUUACGGGAGGCGAGUGGCGGACGGGUGAGGAAUACAUCGGAAUCUACUUUUUCGUGGGGGAUAACGUAGGGAAACUUACGCUAAUACAGCAUACGACCUACGGGUGAAAGCAGGGGAUCUUCGGACCUUGCGCGAUUGAAUGAGCCGAUGUCGGAUUAGCUGGAUGGCGGGGUAAAGGCCCACCAAGGCGACGAUCCGUAGCUGGUCUGAGAGGAUGAUCAGCCACACUGGAACUGGGACACGGUCCCGACUCCUACGGGAGGCAGCAGUGGGGAAUAUUGGACAAUGGGCGCAAGCCUUAUCCAGCCAUACCGCGUGGGUGAAGAAGGCCUUCCGGUUGUAAAGCCCUUUUGUUGGGAAAGAAAAGCAGCAGGUUAAUACCCCGCUGUUCUGACGGUACCCAAAGAAUAAGCACCGGCUAACUUCGUG